GGAAAAUCUGCAGUGAAAAUUACAUGAAGUAAUUAACUUAGAACACUUCCCUGCAAACAGGAUUUAAAUAGCUAAUAAAUAGGAGUUGGAAAAAAUUUUUAAGUUUAAAAACAAGCUAAUCAUGGCAGAUCUUAUCAAAGUUUUUUCCCACAUCAAGAAUACACUGCCGCAAUAAUUUUUAUUUCCUUUUUUUUAUAUAUUUAUUUAUUUUUAUUUAAUUUAAUUAAAAUUAAAAUAAAAAUGUGUAUAAGAAUUAAACUGUGUAACGUUCGCGAACAAAGUUCAGGGAGGGUGUCAGUCCGCUUUGCCACUAGUGUCAUAAUAACGGCAUGCCGCUAAAUGACAUCGCGUGAUUUUUCUUUUUUUUGCAAAAUAGCGGCUAGCCGUUAGGUAUGCAAAAGAGAAGAGCGAGAGAAAAAUCAUGCGAAAAAAUUCGGUGGUGGUUUUUUUCGUUUUUUGAUCGUUUGAGGAGUCGAGCAUCAACUACAGAAGUGAACGGUUGCAGAAAAAAUAAACUUUAAAAAAAAAACAUAUGGAUUCUUAAAACUUAUAAGCAGAGUAACAGGUUCCAAAGAAAAAGAGCAUUUAAUAUAAUAUUCUCUCUAAAAAUGGAAAUGUGUAUAUAAAGUCAUUUGAUGUUCGAUUAUUUAAGUAAAUGAUUUUAUAAAUCAAAUUUUGAAAAUCUUCCAGGAAAUGGGAUUCUUGAAAAAAGAACUAAUUGAUGUAAAAUUAUUCACAAAAAAAAAGGAAAAUGAACUGAAUCGAAAAAAGAAAAAGUUAUAUUUUUACUUUUAUGAUUUAACUAAUUUUAAAUUUUUUUAAUUCAAACAUUGGACAUCAUUGCUGAAAAUUCGUAAUCGAUCUUGAUUACGAUUUUUAUAGCGAGUGGCACAGUUUUGUCAAAAUUAACAAUUUAUAACAGCAAGGAAGAAGAAAAAGCAAAACUGUUGAGGUUUUUUUUGUGAAAUGCCAAAUCAAGUGAUCUUGGUAGACGUGGAAAAUUUUCUUUGAGAAAAAAAAAAGAUGUGCGUUGCGCACUCAUCUGUCUUGUAACAUUCUAGCAACUGGAGCAACCGGUGUACGUCUCCCCCGAAGAAGUCACAUCUGUUUGGGAAACUGCCGCUCUCACCAGUCAGAUAUGAUUGUUCAAUCAAUCAAUCAAUUCAAAUAUUAGCAAUGGUGAGUAAUCAGUGUAUUUAACAUUUCUUGGGGAAUGAAUGUAGAGUAAGAAUGAGUGAUCAAGUAUAAUACACCGCUGCUGUAGCGAGGGCAUGGUGAGUUGUAGUCGAGAGUGGGGGACUGGGGACAGUGACGGACGGACUAAAACCGGACCAACGUACUGUGCGCACAACAGACCUCAAAAACGGACUCACACCGUUUUUCCAGGAGUAAAUAUUUUUUUAUUUUGCGUUUUCCUUUUUUUUUUUUGUUGUUUUUUUUAUUAUUGUCAUGCGGCCCAGCAUGCCAAGUCAAAUAAAUUAGCCGGUCUACCGAAAGCUGAGCUGGGCCUCGUAGCAAGUGUAAUGUAGUGAAAACACAAUUAAAGGUUCGUUUUGAUGAUUAUUUAUUAUUGAUUAUUUUACUUCCAACUUUACUUCCGACUUUACAUCUGACUUUACUGAACUGUGGUCAGUAAUUUAUACAAUAAAUUAUAGUGCUAACUUAAGCAAAAUAGUGGAAUUAAACUAGGCUAUUACUAAAGUUACAUGUAAAGCUAGAUUGCGUUAUAUUAUCUAGGUCACAGCUUGACUUGCAGUAUGUGGAAAUAUGUAGGACAGAUCUUAACUAGGUUAUAGCUACGUUUACAUUAUGUGGAUAUAUAAUAGAGUGCGAACUAAGCAUAAAUGAUUAUUGAAUUGGUAGAUGACGAUAAAUCGAUAAUGCUACAGUAAUGGUGUAAUGGCUGACAACGACUUAACAGACAAAUAGAUACUCACAUGCGGAUUAACGGACAAAAGGACAAGACAGACGAAAAAUAUAACAAUUAAUGAAUAGGAAGGGAAUAGCACACUUGACACAUAAGUUAUUUCUUUUUUUCUUUUAAUUUUUUUUAUAUUCUUAUACCUUGGAAUUUAUCUUUCUCUUGUACAGAUCAACUGGGCUGGUCGGCGUAACAAUAAAUGUGCCUCCUGCUCUGAAAGUUUCGUUACAGAUUAUUCCAAUGAAAAAUAUAGGUUCUUGCCAAACAUUCAAUAUUUUAAAGGCAAUGAUAUACUAAAUGCAGAAGGAACUCUUACAAUACCACUUAAAAUUAAAGUUAUAAAUCACAAUUUACGUACCGAGUAGACAAACUAUACAAACUAUAAUGACAAACUAUAAUGAGCGCAAUUGCAGCCCAUCUCAUGAUCAUUCCGACAACGGUGUUAUUGAUGCUAAACGAUAAAUGAAUAUCCUUCUCCAAGAUAAAAAAAUACCAAAGACGCUUAACCAGAAAAACAUUAGUGGAGAGAGAACACAUACGUGGGUUCCGUGGCAGACAAUUUCAGCAUCGCGCGACACGCACAAGGAAGAACCUUUCAAAACAACUGCACCUACUAGAGCCCGUAAAUAAAAAGGUAGAAUAUAAAUUUAGCAUUUUUCAGCAUCGCGCGACACGCACAAGGAAGAACUUUUCAAAAUAACUGCACCUACUACAGCCCGUAAAUGUAAAGGUAGCACAUAAAUUUAGAAGCAGGCCAUACUUAAUAAACCUACAAAAUUGCAGUAAGCUACGUCACAGUGAGAAAUGACCAAAACUACUUCCCAAGAACCGCUUAACAUGCUACGACACGUGCACCCAACCACAUAUAUUGUAGGCAUAACGUACGAUAGGUUUCAGAAUACGACUAAGCCUAAAGUAAAUAUAAGCUGUGGUACCAGCUACCACUUCCAGGCCAUAAAAGAUCGGUGGCAUCAAAAAAGGAUAAGCUAGUCUGUAUUUGAUUAGUUGCGGUAGUUAAGUACUAUUGGAAUAAAUUGAGCGCAAUGUAUCCACCAUUUUUCUAUGGUAAACAUAUUUUUUAAAGGUGAGGUAAUGAUUAAUAAAUACACCCGGGUAGUUAUGUAGGCCAAUAACCUCUACAUUGGACUCACCAAUGAGGAUGUUUAGUUGGGGCGAAUACUAGUUCAUAUUACUAAAAAAUGUAGCGUUGGAUUUCGAUGGGUUUAUGAACAAAUAUUAAAAUAAGUUUAUACAAUUUCGAAUGAUUGAAGUUCAUACAACGCUUUAUUAUAUAUUUGAAAAAAUUAUGUGUGAAAGAGACAAUAAAAAUAGAGGCGUAAUCUUCUUAAUCUAUUAAACACUAUUUCAAUAAGAUGAUAUUUAGAUAUAGUUAUGACUUAGAAAAAAAAAAGUUUCGCAUAACGCUAUAUAAGAAUUUAUUGAUUAAAAACCUAGUAAUUCGCUCGACAUCCUGCUUAGUCUGUUUGAUUCUUCAAUUCCUUACAUAGAAAAGUUCACAAUAAUUACAAUAAGGAAAGACGAACUCUGCGAUAUUCAAGCAUAUGUGAGAUGUAAAAUUAAAUACCAUUUCUUUUGGUUUGGGUAUGUUAAUCCGCGUGCACAAGUACUUCUGUGUACAUAUAUUUUAUAUCUUUUGUUUUUGUAAUUACCAAUUAACCCUACUAUCCUCUUUGUUCAUAUUUAUAAGUUUUUCCUUUGUUCAAACUUUUCUUUGUUGCGUAUGUUUUAUAAUGACUCCAUUUUUCUUCUUCAAGAUCAAACAUUAUUCUUGUUCUUCUUUUUUUCUAAAUUUUAAUUAAGUUCUUUUUAGAGAUUUGCCCAGACAAUUUAUAAUCAUCCGCGUUUCUCUGUCUUAGACAAAAAUCUUUUUUUUUCUUUUUUUUUAAGCAAACCCAAAAGAUUUGUCUAUUUAUGUAGCAGCACGUCCGCAAUCCUCCUUUUUUUUCUUUUCUUAAUUUAAUUUACAUUUCUGCAUUUCAAUUUACUUUACAUUUUAAAUAUUUCAUAAAUAGUUCUCCGUCUGUCAAACUGAGCCUGUCUUCGACUUUUUUUCUUUUUCUUGAUGUUAUGUUUACGCUAAUCGUGAAAUAUUAUAAUUACGAAUUUUUGUUAUUUUCUUUCUUCAUCCAGACAUCUCGCUCUCCCUUCACUAACCUUUUUAUUCUUCCCGGCCCUGAAAUUGACUUUUCUCGCGCGAGGAGUUCACAAUUGUUUGUUCGGUUCACAUUUGAUUUACAUUGUGGAAAAAGGUUUUGCGUAUCCAAAAUUUGGACAACAAUGACAUUGGGAGAUGUCUCUAGUUUUUAAAGGAGUUUCGACUCUAACGACAGCAUAUUUGCACUAUUUCAAACCGCAAAUGAUUUUAUUAUCUGCACUAUAUUCUAGAUCUAUACAAGGCAUUCGAAGCGAAUUUUUAAGUGUCAGCUUUUCCACACCGACUUUGAUAUGACGAAUUGGAAUAGGUUCGUGGAGGUUUUUUAAGCCUAUUCUUUCUGCUCUUUUCUGUUUUAUUUGGCAGGCGCGAAAUUGAACUUUUUUGCCAUUGAUGUAUUUCUGAUUAAUUUUGCAACAAUUACUAUUAACUCAAACAAGUACGUCGACACUGGAGGCGAAAAUGAAAUAGGCAACAAUCACCAAUUAAAUGUAAUGGUGGUAGCAAAUUUGCUGGUGAUUGGUGUUGAGUUACGUUAAAUCUGGCUGCAGUAAAAUUACUGAAAACAAAUUUGCAUUAGUGCACAAUGCAUCGUAACUUCCUUUUGUGCUCCUUCAUUGCAGACGAGAAGGGGCAGAAAAGACUUACGCGACGCAUAAGAGGGAUCACCACGGAAUGAGCGAGAAAGGUUUUAUGGAACGAACCACCAAUGAUACCUCAAAACGAAUUUACGACCAUGAAUUGAAGCUUGUGGCAGUCAAUUUCAAACUUUCCGGGCCUUCCCGCGAUUCCUAUGUGUGGAGGCAACCCGGGAAUACCAUUGGAAUAGGCAAGAUAGCAAUGAUUGGCUGUUCGGUACAAGCCGAUACUCCCUAGAGCCUUGGCUGAAGAGAAAUAGAAAAAGAAAAUACAACGAAAUCCAUUACAAGGCGAGAUAUAUUGCAGAAAGAUUUAUUAGUAUUAUUAUUUCGAAAAUCUAACUACAGUUUUUGUACAUUUCUGUAAGUCGUUGGCGCAUUCUACAGGAAGAGCGGAAGAGCUGCUACAGUCCAAAGAAGCUGGGAAGUGUGCGCUACAAAGUGAAAGGAGAUCUUUCAAAUACUUCAGCUCAGCAGGCGACCUAUGAAGAUGACUGUGUUGAUAUUUGUGUGGAGGCACUUCAAUUGAGGCACUCGAGCAAAGAACUUAGAACUUGUUUCAAAAAUUGUAAAUAUUACAAGAGUCCUAAAAACAUAAGUACAUUUUAAAGUUAUAAUUCGCAAAAAUUUACAUAAAAUUUAUAUAAAUAUGGAAAGUAUUAUUUCUUAUUUUGAUAAAAAAAACUUCUUAUGCACUGGCAAUUAAAUGCAAAUUUCUUGAGAAUCGACCAUGAUCAUUUCAACAUUUAAAUUCGAUUAUCAUUUUAUAGCCUAACACAAAUUGUGCAUAACUUUGCCUUAUGUGGUUUGCUUAUACAAAACAAUCGUCAUUAUUUACUCCUCUCUGUUAAUAAUGCGUUGUAAUGGAAAAUUUGGGGGGAAGUUUUGAAAAGUUGGUGACAGUGAUACAUAAUUAGCUGCUUGUUCAUUGAAACGGAGAAAACUGACGAGCGCGACAGAAAAAAGCAUCACUUUGAAACGGGCGUGAAAAGCUUUGCGUGAUGCUUCCGACCACUUCAAAGCGAAAUGAGUAAAUGCUGAGCCCACUUGAUUUGAGUACACCGAAGUUGGAACGGGCCGUUCUUAACCUCAAAUAUUUCAGCAAUUUAUAAAAUUGAUUAAUAAGUAAAAUAAUAAAAAAAAUGUUUUCUUAUAUUCCUUUCUUUGCUUGUUUUCCG